rnacentral:lncRNA from 1 species
CCAAUCCUCCUCAGGUUUGGGAACUCGAAUGCCAUUAACCACAUGUGAUGGUUCUUGUGGUCCCUUGACUAUAACCCUCCACAAGGCAUAGUCUUGUGCUUGAAUGAAGAUUCUCAUUCUAGUCUUCCAAUAGGUAUAAUUUGUCCCAUUGAAGAGUGGAUGUCUAUUGGUUGCUUGCCCCUCGGCAGAGACAUUGUUAAAGGGUGUUGCCAUCUAGAUCUUUGGCUAAGACGGUUAAGUCUUUCAAGAAAUACACAGAGCACCAGCUCUGAUACCACUUGUUGCCCAGAGAUGGUCACCCAAGAGGGGGGUGAAUUGGGUGUUUUAAAAACUUUUGACUAAUUAAAAAUAAAACACACUAAUAUAUGCACUAAAGUAAAGGAGGAGGAAUGAGAAAGGUCAAUCGCAAACACAAGGUUUUAUAGUGGUUCGGAGCUUCCACUGCUCCUACAUCCACUCUCCAAAUCACCUUUGGGAAUUUUCACUAUAAUCCACGAUUACAGUACGGUAGUUUUGCGAGUUUACUACCCAACUCGUUGUUUUACACCGGGCUCACAACAAACCCUAAAACCCCCAAUUUCACUUAGGCUUGGGACGCCUUUCCCUUGUUCCAAGUUCCUUGACUGGAACAAGCACCACAACGAAAGAGUUUACAAAAGAAAGGAAAAGCUCUAAAAAGCAAAUAUUGCAAUUAUGAACAAUAGAACCCGGAAGAAUCCUUUUGCCGUUGGAAGCGUGGGAGAUAUUGAUUCUUCCGAUGUGGAGCGCGUAGGAUUGAGUGUGAGCUUUUAAUC